CUACGACCAUAUCACGUUGAAACAUUGGUUCCCAUACGAUCACUGAAGUUAAGUAAUUAACGUGGAAACUGGUCAGUACCUACAUGGGUAACCGCUUGGGAAUACCACGUGUCGUAAG